rnacentral:lncRNA from 1 species
GCCGGGACCGGAGAUUGCGGAAAUGGAGACGCCGUGUGUGGAAAGGUGGGCGUAUGGGGCGGAAAGGGAACCUGAUUGACUCCGGUCAUCCGGUGGUUAGUGGAGACGGUUCUGGCAGUGUAGCCGCCCCUGUCUGCUCCGACGCGAGCGCCCCUGGUAGUACCUAGGCAGCACCCGUUUCGGAGACAGGCACGCGCCGUUUGAGAGCCCGCGGUCUGGCGCGGUAGUGACCUGCGACCAGCCCAGCGGAGCCUCCAACGGUGGGCGACCACACUUACCGUCUUGCACUUUGGGAGGGGGGAAAGGGUUAAAUUUACACUGUUACACAUGAGCACAUUGUUUGGUUGUGUUUCUAAAUUCUCAUAUCUUUAUUUCAUAUUUUUCCUUGUCUUUUUCCCUGUCUUACCGCCGUAUGUACUUAAAUUUCCUAUGUCCCUACCUACGUCGCACCAAACUAAGUCGUACUAGAAAAAGGGUGAGGCCCACAGCCUCGCUUACCCGAUCCUCUCGAGCCUAUCGGUCUUUUUGUCUCCUCGCCUGGCGCUCGGUCCUUGAGCCUCUCGUGGUCAACGGUGUCUUGAGCCUCUCGUGGGCACGUGGUCUUGAGCCUCUCGUGGGCAACGGUGGGGUUAUGGCGCACUUUUUACUCUUUUCACUUUUGUCGCCGCAGCGAUCUCGACUGGUCCUCCCGGUGUUCCAAACAUUUCUCCCCGAGGCGAGCUCUGCGUGGCGAUCGCGAGCCCUUAGCUGCGGUCCCUUGUCCGGGCUGCGCUGCCAUCUCUGCCCACGCCCGUGGCUUUCUUGGUGUUCGCCGCUCUCGGGCUGCUGUCGGUGCCCUUGCUCUCUCGCUCUGCUUCUCUGCUGCUGGCUCUCGGCGUUGAUCUCUGGCUCUGCUUCUGCCGCUCUGCUGCUGGCUCUCGUCGUCGUUCUCGUUUCGUUCUGCUGCUGGCUCUCGGCUUCGCUCUCUCUGUUCUGUUGGCGGCUCGCGUCGUCGUUCUCUGGCUCUGCUUCUCUGCUCUGCUCUGCUGCUGGCCGCUCUCGGUCUGCUGGCUCACUUCGUCGUUCUCUUUGGCUCUGCUGCUGGCUCACGUCGUCGUUCUCUUUAGCUCUGCUGCUGUUGGCUCGCGUCACCGUUCUCUUUGCUCUGCUCGGCUGUUGGCUACUGUGGGCCGCGAACUUAAAUUAUGACUUCAGAAUUUCACCCCUUAGAAACUAAUAAUGGAAAAUUAUAAACUCAAUAAUAAAGACUUCAUGGUACCUCUCCUAAAUACCUAAUAAAAUAUAAAACAAGUAACUUUCUUAGUGAAAACUUAACCCUAUAUAUAUAACAAAG